UACUGCCAUGAAUGGAUGGAAGUA
rnacentral:siRNA from 1 species